rnacentral:rRNA from 1 species
AGAGUUUGAUCCUGGCUCAGAACGUACGCUGGCGGCACGCCUAACACAUGCAAGUCGAACGAAGUAGCAAUACUUAGUGGCAGACGGGUGAGUAACAUGUAGGUAUCUACCCUUUGGCCUGGAAUAACACGAGGAAACUUGUGCUAAUACCGGAUAAGUCUUUACAGAGAAAGCUUUAUGCACCAUUGGAUGAGCCUGCACUAGAUUAGUUUGUUGGUGGGGUAAUGGCCUACCAAGACUGUGAUCUAUAGCUGAUUUGAGAGGAUGAUCAGCCACAUUGGGACUGAGACACGGCCCAAACUCCUACGGGAGGCAGCAGUGGGGAAUCUUGCACAAUGGAGGAAACUCUGAUGCAGCGAUGCCGCGUGAGUGAAGAAGGCCUUUGGGUUGUAAAGCUCUUUCGUCGGGGAAGAAAAUGACUGUACCCGAAUAAGAAGGUCCGGCUAACUUCGUGCCAGCAGCCGCGGUAAUACGAAGGGACCUAGCGUAGUUCGGAUUUACUGGGCUUAAAGAGUUCGUAGGUGGUUGAAAAAGUUGGUGGUGAAAUCCCAGAGCUUAACUCUGGAACUGCCAUCAAAACUUUUCAGCUAGAGUAUGAUAGAGGAAAGCAGAAUUUCUAGUGUAGAGGUGAAAUUCGUAGAUAUUAGAAAGAAUACCAAUUGCGAAGGCAGCUUUCUGGAUCAUUACUGACACUGAGGAACGAAAGCAUGGGUAGCGAAGAGGAUUAGAUACCUCGUAGUCCAUGCCGUAACGAUGUGUGUUAGACGUUG